rnacentral:lncRNA from 1 species
GUGCUGACUCCCAGCCUUGCUGGACAAAUUAAGCACAUCACUUUUUGGAAUGCCGAUGUUGUCAAGGUCAGUCCAAGGCACCUUCUUCUAUAUUGGAAGCAUGCCUCAUCCUCCCACCUGUCUACCCCAGAAGUGGUGUCUCUUUGUAUUUAUGGAAUACCUACACCCCCUAACCCACACCUGGUUUGCUUUAAUUGAAUUAAGGCCUAACUCAUCCUGCAGACAUGAAAAUAACUCCUAUAUACAGCCCAUAGCUUUGUAUUCAACCUCUUCUUUAAGUUUGAGGCCAGGUCUAUAUCCUACUCCUUUUUCAAAUAUCUUAGGGUGUUUUUGAGACUACUGUAUUUCUAAUACUUACAUGAAAGGUAAUAUAGUAUACAGCUCAAAACCAUGGACCAUAUUUCCAGGGUUCAAAUCCCAGCUCAAAUACUUUACCAGGUUUAUAAAUUCAGGUGAAAAUUUAAACUUGUCUAUGUCUAGUUUCCUCAUCUAUAAAUAAACAUAGUGAUAAUAGCAUCUAUCUCAAUGGGCUAGUAUUAAUAUGUAUGUGAGAGAAUUAAAAUAGGAUCAGCUGCCUUAGUAAUUUCCUUUUUGUACCAAAAAAAAAAAAAUACAACACACUAGAUAAUAAAUAGUACAGUGUGGUUAUAACCUGAAAAAAAGAGAAACAAAUGAUGUGAGCUCUGUGAUUGCCCUAGCUCCCUGACUGCAGAUGGUUUAUAGGCUGUAAAGGAAUCCAUCCAGUGGUCUCACCAAUUGCAGAGACAUUCAACAGAGUUCAAGGAGGCCAAGGCAGCUUGAAUUUGCAGUUCAGAGUGAUGAAGAGAAGGUAGCUACCCAAAGCAGAAGCUUCUGAAAGCUGCAGAGGGGUUUUCUCACACCUUUGACUAAACAGUGUUCUGAAUUUGUGUGGACAAAACCCCCACAAGGCUGAGGAAAUAAUCUCCAGAAAGAACUAGGUCAAGUAAUUCCAGAGCUCACAUAAAACAAGGAUUACUUCCCCAUUUCAACCAACCAGAAUGCAAAAAACUGAAAGUAUACAGAGCACUGAGCAAAGGUUUUAGAAGGGCCAUAACUUUAUAGUUUGCUCUGGACCCAUUUUAUUAACCUAAAAGAAAACCUCUAAAGGAAUAAUCAUGCAGCACUCUUCAAAGGAAUACAACAAAAUUCAGCACUGCACAUCAUAUAAUUCACAGUGUUUGCCAUAUAACAAAAGAUUUCCAGGCAUUCAGAGUCAGGAAAAUACAAUCCAUAACCAGAAGAAAAAUAAAUCAUUAUAAAUAGAUUUUUUUCAAACAAGAAUAUGAAAUAUUAAUAAUAAUAAUAAUAAUAAUUAAUAAUAGAACACUAUUAUUAAGCUAAAGGAUGUAAAGAAAAGCAUACAACCAUAAAAUUGGAUUCUAAUUAGAAUAAGUUAUACUCCAUGUAUGUAUAGUAUGUCAAAAUACACUCUGCUGUUGUGUAUAUCUACAAAAAAAAUAAAAGCAUGAACAUAAGAGAAAAUGGGAUAUAUGACACAGGACAAAGACUCAAGUAGAAUUUCUUUCUCUCAUUUUUUUUUCUUUUGGUACUGGGGAUUGAACACAGGAGCGCAUAACCACUGAGCCAUAUCCCCACCUCUUUUUUUAAAAAAAAAAAAUUAUUUUGAGACAGGGUCUCAAAAUACUUUGAGUUCCUUAGGACCUCACUAAGUUGCUGAGGCUGGCUUUGAACU